rnacentral:rRNA from 1 species
UACGUAGGGUGCGAGCGUUGUCCGGAAUUAUUGGGCGUAAAGAGCUUGUAGGCGGUUUGUCGCGUCUGCUGUGAAUAUCCGGGGCUCAACCCCGGACUUGCAGUGGGUACGGGCAGACUAGAGUGUGGUAGGGGAGACUGGAAUUCCUGGUGUAGCGGUGAAAUGCGCAGAUAUCAGGAGGAACACCGAUGGCGAAGGCAGGUCUCUGGGCCACUACUGACGCUGAGAAGCGAAAGCAUGGGGAGCGAACAGGAUUAGA